GUACCCUCAAGCUCUGCUUGGUGUUGGGCGUUUGUCUCCCCUGGGAGACUCGCCUCAAAACAAUUGGCAGCCGGCAUAUUGGUAUCGGAGCGCAGCACAAGUCGCGCUUCUGUCCAUGAAUCUGGCGUCCAUUAAGACAUUUUUUAC
rnacentral:misc_RNA from 1 species